CAAGUCGACGGGAUCUUCGGAUUCUAGUGGCGGACGGGUGAGUAACGCGUAAGAAUCUAACUUCAGGACGGGGACAACAGUUGGAAACGACUGCUAAUACCCGAUGUGCCGCGAGGUGAAACCUAAUUGGCCUGAAGAAGAGCUUGCGUCUGAUUAGCUAGUUGGUGGGGUAAAGGCCUACCAAGGCGACGAUCAGUAGCUGGUCUGAGAGGAUGAGCAGCCACACUGGGACUGAGACACGGCCCAGACUCCUACGGGAGGCAGCAGUGGGGAAUUUUCCGCAAUGGGCGAAAGCCUGACGGAGCAACGCCGCGUGAGGGAGGAAGGUCUUUGGAUUGUAAACCUCUUUUCUCAAGGAAGAGGUUCUGACGGUACUUGAGGAAUCAGCCUCGGCUAACUCCGUGCCAGCAGCCGCGGUAAUACGGGGGAGGCAAGCGUUAUCCGGAAUUAUUGGGCGUAAAGCGUCCGCAGGUGGUCAGCCAAGUCUGCUGUCAAAUCAGGUUGCUUAACGACCUAAAGGCGGUGGAAACUGGCAGACUAGAGAGCAGUAGGGGUAGCAGGAAUUCCCAGUGUAGCGGUGAAAUGCGUAGAGAUUGGGAAGAACAUCGGUGGCGAAAGCGUGCUACUGGGCUGUAUCUGACACUCAGGGACGAAAGCUAGGGGAGCGAAAGGGAUUAGAUACCCCUGUAGUCCUAGCUGUAAACAAUGGAUACUAGAUGUUGAACAGAUCGACCUGUGCAGUAUUAAAGCUAACGCGUUAAGUAUCCCGCCUGGGAAGUAUGCUCGCAAGAGUGAAACUCAAAGGAAUUGACGG
rnacentral:rRNA from 1 species